CUUUUCGAACGCACAUUGCGGCCUCGGGUCCUACCCGGGGCCACGUCUGUCUGAGGGUCGGAUUAUGCUUGCAGAAGGGAGUUUCUCCCUGAUUGGUUGUGCCGGAUGCGUCCGCCGACCUAAAUUGUGCGAGUUUUCGACCCUGGCCGAGAGGCAUGCCACGAGAGGAUGUCCGAGAGCGGGAGUGGCGAAGUGCCUGCCUGCAAGCUUGGACCAGUGGUGGAAGCCUGUGCUGGGGAAUUCAGAUGUGGAGUCAAUCUCCUACUUAACUUUGUCGACCUCAGAUCAGGCGAGACGACCCGCUGAAUUUAAGCAUAUAACUAAGCGGAGGAAAAGAAACCAACCAGGAUUCCCUCAGUAACGGC
rnacentral:rRNA from 1 species